CCUACGGGAGGCAGCAGUGAGGAAUUUUCCGCAAUGGGCGAAAGCCUGACGGAGCAAUACCGCGUGAGGGAGGAAGGUUUUUGGAUUGUAAACCUCUUUUCUUAGGGAAGAAUUUUGACGGUACCUGAGGAAUAAGCAUCGGCUAACUCCGUGCCAGCAGCCGCGGUAAUACGGGGGAUGCAAGCGUUAUCCGGAAUUAUUGGGCGUAAAGAGUCCGUAGGUGGUCAUGCAAGUCUGCUGUCAAAGCCCACAGCUUAACUGUGGAUAGGCGGUGGAAACUGCAUGACUUGAGUACGGUAGGGGUAGAGGGAAUUCCCAGUGUAGCGGUGAAAUGCGUAGAUAUUGGGAAGAACACCGGUGGCGAAAGCGCUCUACUGGACCGUAACUGACACUGAGGGACGAAAGCCAAGGUAGCGAAAGGGAUUAGAUACCCCUGUAGUCUUGGCCGUAAGCGAUGGAUACUAGGCGUUGUCUGUAUCGACCCGGACAGUGCCGAAGCUAACGCGUUAAGUAUCCCGCCUGGGGAGUACGCACGCAAGUGUGAAACUCAAAGGAAUUGACGG
rnacentral:rRNA from 1 species